UAACGCGAAGAACCUUACCAAGGCUUGACAUACACCGGAAAAGUGCAGAGAUGUGCUCCCCGCAAGGUCGGUGUACAGGUGGUGCAUGGUUGUCGUCAGCUCGUGUCGUGAGAUGUUGGGUUAAGUCCCGCAACGAGCGCAACCCUCGUCCUAUGUUGCCAGCACGUAAUGGUGGGAACUCAUGGGAUACUGCCGGGGUCAACUCGGAGGAAGGUGGGGAUGAGGUCAAAUCAUCAUGCCCCUUAUGUCUUGGGCUUCACGCAUGCUACAAUGGCCGGUACAAUGGGCUGCGAUACCGCAAGGUGGAGCGAAUCCCAAAAAGCCGGUCUCAGUUCGGAUUGAGGUCUGCAACUCGACCUCAUGAAGUCGGAGUCGCUAGUAAUCGCAGAUCAGCAACGCUGCGGUGAAUACGUUCCCGGGUCUUGUACACACCGA
rnacentral:rRNA from 1 species